UACGUAGGGUGCGAGCGUUGUCCGGAAUUAUUGGGCGUAAAGAGCUCGUAGGCGGUCUGUCGCGUCGAUCGUGAAAACUUGGGGCUUAACCCUGAGCUUGCGGUCGAUACGGGCAUGACUGGAGUUCGGCAGGGGAGACUGGAAUUCCUGGUGUAGCGGUGAAAUGCGCAGAUAUCAGGAGGAACACCGGUGGCGAAAGCGGGUCUCUGGGCCGAUACUGACGCUGAGGAGCGAAAGCGUGGGGAGCGAACAGG
rnacentral:rRNA from 1 species